UACAGAGGGUGCGAGUGUUGUCCGGAAUCACUGGGCGUAAAGGGCGCGUAGGCGGUUGCCUAAGCGUGUGGUGAAAGCCCGGGGCUCAACCCCGGGUCGGCCAUGCGAACUGGGCGACUGGAGCCGAUCAGAGGCAGGCGGAAUUCCGGGUGUAGCGGUGGAAUGCGUAGAGAUCCGGAAGAACACCGGUGGCGAAGGCGGCCUGCUGGGAUCUUGCUGACGCCGAGGCGCGACAGCGUGGGGAGCAAACAGG
rnacentral:rRNA from 1 species